rnacentral:rRNA from 1 species
GAGUUUGAUCCUGGCUCAGAAUCAACGCUGGCGGCGCGCUUAACACAUGCAAGUCGAACGAGAAAGUGGGGCAACCCAUGAGUAAAGUGGCGCACGGGUGAGUAACACGUGGGUAAUCUACCUCCGGGUGGGGAAUAACCCUGGGAAACCGGGGCUAAUACCGCAUAAGCUCGGGAGAGGAAAGGCGAAAGUCGCCGGGAGAGGAGCCCGCGGCCGAUUAGCUGGUUGGUAGGGUAACGGCCUACCAAGGCGACGAUCGGUAGCCGGCCUGAGAGGGCACACGGCCACACUGGCACUGAAACACGGGCCAGACUCCUACGGGAGGCAGCAGUGGGGAAUCUUGCACAAUGGGGGCAACCCUGAUGCAGCGACGCCGCGUGAGCGAUGAAGCCCUUCGGGGUGUAAAGCUCUUUCGGCAGGGACGAUAAUGACGGUACCUGAAGAAGAAGCUGCGGCUAACUACGUGCCAGCAGCCGCGGUAAUACGUAGGCAGCGAGCGUUGUUCGGAGUUACUGGGCGUAAAGAGUGCGUAGGCGGUGUUCCAAGUCUGGUGUGAAAUCUCCCGGCUCAACUGGGAGGGUGCGCCGGAAACUGGGACGCUGGAGUAUGGGAGAGGUAAGCGGAAUUCCUGGUGUAGCGGUGAAAUGCGUAGAUAUCAGGAGGAACACCUGCGGUGUAGACGGCUUACUGGACCAUGACUGACGCUGAGGCACGAAAGCGUGGGGAGCAAACAGGAUUAGAUACCCUGGUAGUCCACGCCCUAAACGAUGAUCACUCGAUGUUGGCGAUACACAGUCAGC